GACGAACGCUGGCGGCGUGCUUAACACAUGCAAGUCGAACGGAAAGGCCCCUUUGGGGGUACUCGAGUGGCGAACGGGUGAGUAACACGUGAGUAACCUGCCCUUGACUUCGGGAUAACUUCAGGAAACUGGGGCUAAUACCGGAUAGGAAUCCUUGCUGCAUGGUGGGGGUUGGAAAGCUUCGGCGGUUUUGGAUGGACUCGCGGCUUAUCAGCUUGUUGGUGGGGUAGUGGCUUACCAAGGCUUUGACGGGUAGCCGGCCUGAGAGGGCGACCGGCCACAUUGGGACUGAGAUACGGCCCAGACCCCUCGGGGAGGCAGCAGGGGGGAAUAUUGCACAAUGGGGGGAAGCCUGAUGCGGCAACGCCGGGGGGGGGAUGACGGCCUUCGGGUUGUAAACCGCUUUCAGCGGGGGCGAAGGUUGGGGGGACGGACCCUGAAAAAGAAGCACCGGCUAACUACGG
rnacentral:rRNA from 1 species